UACGUAGGGGGCAAGCGUUGUCCGGAAUCAUUGGGCGUAAAGCGCGUGUAGGCGGCUUGGUAAGUCUGCUCUGAAAGCCCGGGGCUCAACCCCGGGAGGCGGGUGAAUACUGUCAAGCUCGAGUCCGGAAGAGGAGUGUGGAAUUCCUGGUGUAGCGGUGAAAUGCGCAGAUAUCAGGAGGAACACCAAUGGCGAAGGCAGCACUCUGGGACGUGACUGACGCUGAGACGCGAAAGCG
rnacentral:rRNA from 1 species